rnacentral:rRNA from 1 species
CCUACGGGAGGCAGCAGUGAGGAAUAUUGGUCAAUGGGCGGAAGCCUGAACCAGCCAAGUAGCGUGCAGGAUGACGGCCCUACGGGGUGUAAACUGCUUUUAUACGGGAAUAACGCGCCUUACGUGUAGGGCUUUGCAUGUACCGUAUGAAUAAGGACCGGCUAAUUCCGUUCCAGCAGCCGCGGUAAUAAGGGAGGUCGGGGCGUUAUCCGGAUUUAGUGGGUUUAAAGGGGGAGUAGGCCGCCUGUCAAGCGUGCUGUGACAUGUCCGGGCUCAACCCGGGCCUUGCAGCGCGAACUGGCGUGCGUGAGUCCGCGGAAGGCAGGCGGAAUUCGUCGUGUAGCGGUGAAAUGCGUAGAUAUGACGAAGAACCCCGAGUGCGAAGGCAGCUUGCUGCAGCGGAACUGACGCUGAUGCUCGAAAGCGCGGGUAUCGAACAGGAUUAGAUACCCUGGUAGUC